rnacentral:rRNA from 1 species
UACGGAGGGCGCUAGCGGUGUUCGGAAUUACUGGGCGUAAAGCGCACGUAGGCGGCUACUCAAGUCAGAGGUGAAAGCCCGGGGCUCAACCCCGGAACUGCCUUUGAAACUAGGUGGCUAGAAUCUUGGAGAGGUCAGUGGAAUUCCGAGUGUAGAGGUGAAAUUCGUAGAUAUUCGGAAGAACACCAGUGGCGAAGGCGACUGACUGGACAAGUAUUGACGCUGAGGUGCGAAAGCGUGGGGAGCAAACAGG